rnacentral:rRNA from 1 species
AGAGUUUGAUCCUGGCUCAGAACGAACGCUGGCGGCAGGCUUAACACAUGCAAGUCGAACGCGUGUAGCAAUACACGAGUGGCGCACGGGUGAGUAACGCGUGGAUAUCUGCCUUUUGGUUCGGAAUAACCCCGGGAAACUGGGGCUAAUACCGGAUGGUUCCUACGGGAUAAAGAUUUAUCGCCAAAAGAUGAGUCCGCGUACGAUUAGCUAGUUGGUGAGGUAAUGGCUCACCAAGGCGACGAUCGUUAGCUGGUCUGAGAGGACGAUCAGCCACACUGGGACUGAGACACGGCCCAGACUCCUACGGGAGGCAGCAGUGGGGAAUAUUGGACAAUGGGGGCAACCCUGAUCCAGCCAUGCCGCGUGAGUGAUGAAGGCCUUCGGGUUGUAAAGCUCUUUUGGCGGGGACGAUGAUGACGGUACCCGCAGAAUAAGCCCCGGCUAACUUCGUGCCAGCAGCCGCGGUAAGACGAAGGGGGCUAGCGUUGUUCGGAAUUACUGGGCGUAAAGCGUGUGUAGGUGGUUGCCCAAGUUGGAUGUGAAAGCCUUGAGCUCAACUCAAGAAAUGCAUUCAGGACUGGGUGACUAGAGGACCGGAGAGGAUAGUGGAAUUCCCAGUGUAGUGGUGAAAUACGUAGAGAUUGGGAAGAACACCAGUGGCGAAGGCGGCUAUCUGGACGGUUUCUGACACUAAGACACGAAAGCGUGGGGAGCAAACAGGAUUAGAUACCCUAGUAGUCC